GUUUCCUAGAAGAAUUAGAGGGAAAGGUAAGGAUAACCAUAAAAUAAACUUUUCUUUAGAUGUAAUUAUUUUCAUAUUUUCCAUUUAUAACAGAAUUAAUAGAAAGGCAAUAAAAUAUAGUCAUGAAACUAGCACAAACACCAGCAUACAAGAAGCAUGGGUCAGUAUACAGUAGCAAAAUGCAAUGUACAAAUAAUACCAUAUAUAUUACAAUCCCAUACAGUUUAGUGGUCAUUCCGCUCACAGGGCAUGGCACUAUUUCCAAAGGCAACUUGAAAAUAAUAGACAAAAAGCAAAGACAUGCCCUGUGAAGGCCUUAAAUGUGAGGAUCCAGUUACAGAGUUUUGAGAAGUAGAUCCUCUUGAUAUCAAUGGACUAUUCAGGGUUGACACACUCUCAAAUGCGUCUUCCAGGUCUUUCCAUUUGUAGCAUAGCCAAGAUAGAUUUCACUAAUUACUUCAAUUAUUCACCCUUCUGCAUUUCCACCUUCCCUGCACUGUGACUUUGCAAUUCCUUACACAGUAGAUGAUUCAAUUCAACAAUAGAAUCAGCUCUAGCUGCUAGAAUGAGAUGGAACUGACACUGUGCCUGCAUGUUUCUCCUUGCUCUUUUGUGUUUCCACUUCAGCCAGUCCUUGGGUCCCAAGAGGAGGAUUAACAGACUCAUAGAAAAGAUCCCCACUCAGUCAGUGCUAAUCCAAAGGAGAAAAUACCUAACACAGGAAUUUCAAGCAUCAAUUUCAAAUGAGCUACUGGAAAUAGUUUUGGGCAAGAUGGCCUGUUGGGACUCACACAAGAAAUUUUACCACUUAAGACAGAAGGACCUAUGUUUUCCCUUCCCACUGACUGCACUUGUGCCUCACCAAGAUUGCCCUUGA
rnacentral:lncRNA from 12 species